GCAAGUAGAACGGUAACAGGAAUAGCUUGCUAUUCGCUGACGAGUUUCGAACGGGUGCGUAACGCGUAUGCAACCUACCCUUAACAGGGGGAUAGCCUUCCGAAAGGAAGAAUAAUAUCCCAUAAUAUAAUUGAAUGGCAUCAUUUAAUUAUUAAAGCUCCGGCGGUUAAGGAUGGGCAUGAGUGUGAUUAGUUAGUUGGUGAGGUAACGGCUCACCAAGACUACGAUGACUAGGGGGUCUGAGAGGAGUAGC
rnacentral:rRNA from 1 species